rnacentral:rRNA from 1 species
UUCCAGACUCCUACGGGAGGCAGCAGUGGGGAAUAUUGGACAAUGGACCAAGAGUCUGAUCCAGCAAUUCUGUGUGCACGAUGAAGUUUUUCGGAAUGUAAAGUGCUUUCAGUUGGGAAGAAAGAAAUGACGGUACCAACAGAAGAAGUGACGGCUAAAUACGUGCCAGCAGCCGCGGUAAUACGUAUGUCACGAGCGUUAUCCGGAUUUAUUGGGCGUAAAGCGCGUCUAGGUGGUUAUAUAAGUCUGAUGUGAAAAUGCAGGGCUCAACUCUGUAUUGCGUUGGAAACUGUAUAACUAGAGUACUGGAGAGGUAAGCGGAACUACAAGUGUAGAGGUGAAAUUCGUAGAUAUUUGUAGGAAUGCCGAUGGGGAAGCCAGCUUACUGGACAGAUACUGACGCUGAAGCGCGAAAGCGUGGGUAGCAAACAGGAUUAGAUACCCUGGUAGUCCACGCCGUAAACGAUGAUUACUAGGUGUUGGGGGUCGAACCUCAGCGCCCAAGCAAACGCGAUAAGUAAUCCGCCUGGGGAGUACGUACGCAAGUAUGAAACUCAAAGGAAUUGACGGGGGCCCGCACAAG